UCGAGAAUCUUCGGCAAUGGACGCAAGUCCGACCGAGCGACGCCGCGUGCGGGAUGAAGGCCUUCGGGUUGUAAACCGCUGUCAGUGGGGAGGAAAUCCAGGGGAGUUAUCUCUUCUGGUUGACCUAUCUUCGGAGGAAGUGCGGGCUAAGUUCGUGCCAGCAGCCGCGGUAAGACGAACCGCACAAACGUUAUUCGGAAUCACUGGGCUUAAAGGGUGCGUAGGCGGUCCGGAAAGUUGGGUGUGAAAUCCCUCGUCUCAACCGAGGAACUGCGCUCAAAACUACCGGACUUGAGGGAGACAGAGGUGAGCGGAACUUAGGGUGGAGCGGUGAAAUGCGUUGAUAUCCUGAGGAACACCAGUUGCGAAGGCGGCUCACUGGGUCUUUUCUGACGCUGAGGCACGAAAGCUAGGGGAGCGAACG
rnacentral:rRNA from 1 species